rnacentral:rRNA from 1 species
GUAGGUGGCAAGCGUUGUCCGGAAUUAUUGGGCGUAAAGCGCGCGCAGGUGGUUCUUUAAGUCUGAUGUGAAAGCCCCCGGCUCAACCGGGGAGGGUCAUUGGAAACUGGGGAACUUGAGUGCAGGAGAGGAAAGUGGAAUUCCACGUGUAGCGGUGAAAUGCGUAGAUAUGUGGAGGAACACCAGUGGCGAAGGCGACUUUCUGGCCUGUAACUGACACUGAGGCGCGAAAGCGUGGGGAGCAAACAGGGAUUAGAUACCCUGGUAGUCCACGCCGUAAACGAUGAGUGCUAAGUGCUGGGGGGGUUUCCGCCCCCUCAGUGCUGCAGCUAACGCAUUAAGCACUCCGCCUGGGAGUACGGUCGCAAGACUG